rnacentral:rRNA from 1 species
GUCGAUUUGGAGGUUGUGCCCUUGAGGCGUGGCUUCCGGAGCUAACGCGUUAAAUCGACCGCCUGGGGAGUACGGCCGCAAGGUUAAAACUCAAAUGAAUUGACGGGGGCCCGCACAAGCGGUGGAGCAUGUGGUUUAAUUCGAUGCAACGCGAAGAACCUUACCUGGUCUUGACAUCCACAGAACUUUCCAGAGAUGGAUUGGUGCCUUCGGGAACUGUGAGACAGGUGCUGCAUGGCUGUCGUCAGCUCGUGUUGUGAAAUGUUGGGUUAAGUCCCGCAACGAGCGCAACCCUUAUCCUUUGUUGCCAGCGGUCCGGCCGGGAACUCAAAGGAGACUGCCAGUGAUAAACUGGAGGAAGGUGGGGAUGACGUCAAGUCAUCAUGGCCCUUACGACCAGGGCUACACACGUGCUACAAUGGCGCAUACAAAGAGAAGCGACCUCGCGAGAGCAAGCGGACCUCAUAAAGUGCGUCGUAGUCCGGAUUGGAGUCUGCAACUCGACUCCAUGAAGUCGGAAUCGCUAGUAAUCGUAGAUCAGAAUGCUACGGUGAAUACGUUCCCGGGCCUUGUACACACCGCCCGUCACACCAUGGGAGUGGGUUGCAAAAGAAGUAGGUAGCUUAACCUUCGGGAGGGCGCUUACCACUUUGUGAUUCAUGACUGGGG